GGUGUGCAGAGCGGCUUUUGUGCUCUUGCGAGGGUCGAAGCAGCAGCUGGCGGACAAAGAGGAUGGCAAUAAGAACACUCGGGACAACUGUAAAUAACAAGCACUGUUGAAAAGGGAAGAAAAUCAAGCCAGAAAUCAAAUAUUUUCCAUUUCCUUCAGAAAACUACACAAUUCUCCUCUUCCAACAGCUGUUAGACAAAAGAGAGAAAAUAAAGAAAGAAUAAGCAAAUUAUACAGAACUGAAGGAUACAUUACAUGAAAAGUGAAGGGAGAUUAUUUAUCCUUCAGCAAAAGAGGGAAAUAUCUGGAGGUCACUGGGGAGGAAAAGGUCAAUAGUAAAGUCACGUAGAGCAGACAGUAAUUCAAGCCUCUCCCUGUAAGGAAGAAAACGGCUUGAAUGAAAGCCACUAAACAAAGCAUUGUCAUAUUUUAUCCCUUCAAGAAUAUCAUCUGUGGAAAAGCUCCAUAGAUUUGUCUAUUGUGGGACAAGCACAGAUUGCAAAUCACAGCUGAUUAUGCACAAGAGGAGCCAGAGAGGAGAAAAACCAUACAAAUUACCUGAUUGUGGCAAAAGCUUUGGUCACAACAGCUCCCUUGUGAUUCAUGGAAGCAUCCAGACACAAGAGGGAAGCUAGUAAAUGCUUUAGUGAGCAUGGCAACAUGAUGCUACAUCAGAUAACUCACAGGGGGAAGAAAAGGUAUGACUGUGCAGAUUGUGUGAAAGUUUCAUUAGAAAUUCCCAGGUCAUGAGACACUAAAGGACGGCACACAGGAAUAAAAACCAUUUGAACAUCCUUUCUGUGGGAAAAGUUUCAGUGAGAAUUCCAUCCUGGUGAAGCACCAGAGAACUCACACAGAAGAGAAAACCUUUGAAUGUCCUGAUUAUGGGAAAGUCACAAUUCCAGGUUGGUGAUACACCAGAAGACUCACAUAGGAGAGAAAUGUUUUGAAUGUCCUGAUUGUUGGAAAACUUUCAGUUAUAAUUCCAACUUGGUGAUAAAUCAGAGGAAUCAUAAAGGAGAAAAACCUGUUCAAUAUACUGACUGUGGGAGAAGUUCCAGUUCGUAAUUCCCACCUGCCAAUACAUCAGAGGAUUCACUCCAUGGAGAAAUCUUAUGAAUGUCGAGAUUGUGGGAAAGCUUUCAUUAGAAAUUCGCAUCUCCUGAGACACAAGACCACGCACACAGGAGAGAAACCCUUUGAAUGUCCUAUCUGUGGGAAACGUUACAGUCAGAAUUCCUACCUGGUGAUACACCAGAGGACUCACACAGGAGAGAAACCCUUUGAAUGUCCUGACUGUGGGAAACGUUACCGUCAGAAUUCCCACCUGGUGAUACACCAGAGGACUCACACAAGAGAAAAACCCUUUGAAUGUCCUGACUGUGGGAAACGUUACAGUCAGAAUUCCCACCUGGUGAUACACCAGAGGAUUCACAGAGGAGAGAAACCCUUCGAAUGUCCUGAUUGUGGGAAAGGUUUUAGAGAUAAUUCCAGGCUGGUGAGACAUCAGAGGAGUCACACAGGAGAGAAAACUUUUGAAUGUCCUAUCUGUGGAAAACAUUUUAGUAAUAAUUCCAACCUGGUGAGACACCAGAGAUCUCACACAGGAGAGAAACCUUUUGAAUGUCCUGAUUGUAGAAAAGGUUUUAGAGAUAAUUCUCACCUGCUCAUACACCAGAGGACUCACGCAGGAGAGAAACCCUUUAAAAUUCCUGAUUGUGGGAAAGGUUUUAGAAAUAAUUCCAGCCUGGUGAGACAUCAGAGGACUCACACAGGAGAGAAACCCUUUAAAUGUCCUGAUUGUGGGAAAGGUUUUAGAGAUAAUUCCCACCUGGUGAGACAUCAGAGGACUCACACAGGAGAGAAACCCUUUGAAUGUCCUGAUUGUGGGAAAUGUUACUGUCAGAAUUCUUACCUGGUGACACAUCAGAGGACUCACACAGGAGAAAAGCCCUUUGAAUGUCCUAUCUGUGGGAAAGGUUUUAGUGAUAAUUCCAGCCUGGUGAAACACCAGAGAACGCACAUAGAAGAGAAGCCCUUUGAAUGUCCCCUCUGUGGGAAAGGUUUUAGUGAUCAUUCCCACCUGGUGACACACCAGAGGACUCACACAGGAGAGAAGCCCUUUGAAUGUCCUAUCUGUGGGAAAGGUUUUAGUGAUAAUUCUAGUCUGGUGAGACACCAGAGGACUCACACAGGAGAGAAGCCCUUUGAAUGUCCUAUCUGUGGGAAAAGCUUUAGUGUUAAUUCCAGCCUGGUGAGACACCAGAGGACUCACACAGGAGAGAAGCCCUUUGAAUGUCCUGAUUGUGGGAAAGGUUUUAGAGAUAAUUCCCACCUGGUAAGACAUCAGAGGACUCACACAGGAGAGAAACCCUUUGAAUGUUCUGGCUGUGGGAAACGUUACUAUCAGAAUUCCCAACUGGUUACACACCAGAGGACUCACACAGGAGAGAAGCCCUUUGAAUGUCCUAUCUGUGGGAAAGGUUUUAGUCAUAAUUCCAGCCUGGUGAAACACCAGAGGACUCACACAGGAGAGAAACCCUUUGAAUGUCUUGACUUGGGAAAUGUUACAGUGAGAAUUCCCACUUGGUGAGACACCAGAGGACUCACAGACAAGAGAAAUCCUUGAAUGUCCUAUCUGUAGGAAAAGUUUCAGUCAGAGUUCCUACCUAAUGAUACACCAGAGAUUUUACACUGUGGAGAAAUGUUUGAAAUAUUCAGUCUGUGGACAUUACUUCAAGCAUAAAUCAUCCCUUAUUGCACACAAGAUAAUCCAUAUGAGGAAUAGUAGAUGAGUUUACAGAAUGCUUGAAUUUCAUUUGUGAUCUCCCAUUGAAAGUAUAGGUGAGAAAUUGAUUGAAUUUUGGUUUGAUUCAUUUUAUUCAAACGUUUCUCAGGAUUAAAUAUGUAGGUGGAGGGAAAAGGAAAAUGGAAAUGGUUAAUUUUCAGUGGGCCCUGGAUUCAUCCCUGUUGUGAACUGUGGUAAUGGCGCAAGGCACCACACGGCGUCCUGCUGCAAGCAUAACAUAUACAGAUAUGACUCACAUUCUUCUCUGCCUUCUCAGGGGGGAAGCAAGAGUGAAAGAAAAUGCAGUCUAGUUAUUUGGUCAAAACAAAAAUAUCUUCCAGAAUUUAAAAGUGUUUUAAUCAGCUGAGAAACAGUUUGGACACAGCUUGCAUGGGCUGCGCGACAAGCUAUGCUGUGUCUGGCUGUGAGAGGCUGCAGAAGAAGUCAGGCGGUGGUGCAACAGGUGUCAGGGUUUGGGUGGCCUCCCUGCGAUGGUCCUAAGGUAAGCGGGUAAGACAUGCCCUGAAACUAAGUCCUGGUGCUUAUUAUGGGCCCAAAAGAAAAUAAAACUGGGUCUUAUUUUCGGGGAAACACGCGAUAUGUACAUAUGUAUAAUCUGUCCUCAGCACUUCCAAGUAUAUUUGAUUAUUACUCUUUGCAAUUCUAUGAACUCAUGAUUGACUCAAGUCAACAAAUAAAUUUCAUAACUGAAUAGGUUUUUGAGAUGUAUAUUGAAAAUGUAAAUAAUUAAUGUAAGAGGUUAAGUUAGCCUUUUGGCAGCUUUGCCUUUUAUUCUAAUGUAUGCCUUUGGAUCUGUUUUUCCAGAAAUAUUGUGCAGCCAUUUUAUAAACCGUAAUUAAACUAACCCUUUUAUGUGAAUCUUACACGCAAAAGAAUGCCAAAGAGAGCACUGUGGAGAACUCAAUCACAAGCAGCAUUAAAAGGCAAAGAAAACCAAGGCAGCAAUCAAAAUCUUGUUAGUUCCUCCGGAAAUCCCCAGAAUUCUUCUUCUUCCCCAGCAGCUUACAGACAAGGAGGACAAAACCAGGAAAAGAGUUUUGAGCUGGACAAAAAAAGUAGAGUAUCUGGAAGAAACGUAUCAAAAUAUCAAGGGGCAUAAUUUCCUAGUUCAGAAAAAGAGGGAAAUAGCUGGAAGUCAGCGGGAAGGAUAUGAUCACUUGGACAGCCAGAUAAGGCAGACCGUAAUGGAGGCCUUGCCCUUUGAGGAAGGAAGCUGUAACUUGAAUCAAUGCUCCAUCCAAGAAGGGAUUGAGAGUAUUUUUGAUGUCCACAUAAAACAGGAGUCCUGAAACUUUUUAAACGGGGCCAAUUCACAGUCCCUCAGACUGUUGGGGGCUGGACCAGCUGGGUGUGCAUGGCUUCUUAUCAUAUGACUGGGUGGGCAUGGACAAUUUAGAGUCCAUUAAAUAGAAUUAAAUAGAAUAGAAUAGAAUAGAAUUUUUAUUGGCCAAGUGUGAUUGGACACACAAGGAAUUUGUCUUGGUGCAUAUGCUCUCAGUGUACAUAAAAGAAAAGAUAUGUUCAUCAAGGUACAACAUUUACAACACAAUUGAUGGUCAAUAUAUCAAUAUAAAUCAUAAGGAUUGCCAGCAACAAGUUAUAGUCAUACAGUCAUAAAUGGAAAGAGAUUGGUGAUGGGAACUAUGAGAAGAUUAAUAGUAGUGCAGAUUCAGUAAAUAGUUUGACAGUGUUGAUGGAAUUAUUUGUU